GCCUUCGUCAUGUAGUGGUCAGCACACCCGACGCAUAACCGAGAGGUCCGUGGUUCGAUUCCCGGCGGAGGCG
rfam:Stegodyphus mimosarum contig174015, whole genome shotgun sequence.